UCAUCAUCUCUGCCAUGCUGCACGAUGGGCUUCUCCUGAACCACUUGAAAGGGAUUUCACUUUCUGAUGUGAACUUCGGAGAACUCCUUGAUCAGGCCAAUAGCAUUACAGGGUAAGUCGGGAACCACAAGCCUUUGUGAAAAGAAAAGGUUUUGCCUGUGUUUUAGCAGUGGGACCGUGCAAGGUGCUAGGAGCAAUGUGGCACUUGAGGGUGGGCAAAGUCAGACCCUUGGGAUCCCUUCGAAGCAGACGUCUCGCAGAGACUGGCUUGGAAGCAUCUUUGGCCAUGCCUCUGGACCAAAUGCAAGAGGCAGGGCCAUCUAUGGCUUGGCCACAGUUUUCAUCUGCACUGCUGCCUCUUUUUCACUGUGUGCCAACUUCUCUCUUCAGGCUCAGAAUUGGGAACCUUGAAGUUACCAGUUAUGAAGGAGCACUGGUGCCAUCAGGUCUUGAUGUGUGUCUCUCUGUCUGCUUGAACAUCACUGGCCAUACCCUGCUUGAUCCCUCGAACCUGGUCAGCCUCUCACUGGAAGUGACGUUCCGAGUCAAAUAUGAACGUACAAACUUCCAGAACGGUUCCCUAGACAUUAUCUUUCAUGAAUGUGGUGCUAAUUUUGGAGCUAUUACAACCACCCUCUUGGGUAGCACACUUUCAGCAUCCCUUCUGGAUAAAAUACAGGACUCCAUCAUUGCUGACAUAAACCUCCAGAUAUGUGGUGUUCUGAAGACUGUCAUUCACUUGGCAAAAGAUUUCCUCUUCAACAGUAUUAACGACACACACGCCACAUGA
rnacentral:lncRNA from 1 species